UACGGGGGGGGUAAGCGUUGUUCGGAAUUACUGGGCGUAAAGGGCGCGCAGGCGGCUUCUCAAGUCAGGCGUGAAAGCCCCGGGCUUAACCUGGGAGGUGCGUCUGGGACUGAGAGGCUAGAGUUCGGGAGAGGAGAGUGGAAUUCCCAGUGUAGAGGUGAAAUUCGUAGAUAUUGGGAAGAACACCGGUGGCGAAGGCGGCAUCCUGGACCAUGGACUGACGCUGAGGCACGAAAAGUGUGGGGGAUCAAACAGGG
rnacentral:rRNA from 1 species